rnacentral:rRNA from 1 species
UCCCNUAGUAACUGCGAGUGAAGCGGGAAGAGCUCAAAUUUAAAAUCUGGCGNNNUUUNGNCCGUNCCGAGUUGUAGUCUGGAGAAGUGCUUUCCGCGCUGGACCGUGUACAAGUCUCUUGGAACAGAGCGUCAUAGAGGGUGAGAAUCCCGUCUUUGACACGGACUACCAGUGCUUUGUGAUGCGCUCUCAAAGAGUCGAGUUGUUUGGGAAUGCAGCUCAAAAUGGGUGGUAAAUUCCAUCUAAAGCUAAAUAUUGGCGAGAGACCGAUAGCGAACAAGUACCGUGAGGGAAAGAUGAAAAGCACUUUGGAAAGAGAGUUAAACAGUACGUGAAAUUGCUGAAAGGGAAACGCUUGAAGUCAGUCGCGUCGUGCAGGACUCAGCCUUGCUUUUGCUUGGUGCACUUUCUGUACGACGGGCCAGCAUCAAUUUUGACCGUCGGAAAAGGGCUGAGGGAAUGUGGCACCUUCGGGUGUGUUAUAGCCUUCAGUCGCAUACGGCGGUUGGGAUUGAGGAUCGCAGCGCGCCGCAAGGCAGGGGUUCGCCCACUUUCGCGCUUAGGAUGCUGGCAUAAUGGCUUUAAACGACCCGUCUUGAAACACGGACCAAGGAGUCUAACUUACCUGCGAGUGUUUGGGUGGAAAACCCGAGCGCGUAAUGAAAGUGAAAGUUGGGACCUCUGUCGUGGAGGGCACCGACGCCCGGACNUGACGUUCUCUGACGGAUCCGCGGUAGAGCAUGUAGGUUGGGACCCGAAAGAUGGUGAACUAUGCCUGAAUAGGGUGAAGCCAGAGGAAACUCU